rnacentral:rRNA from 1 species
AGAAUCAACGCUGGCGGCGUGCCUAACACAUGCAAGUCGAACGAGAAAGGGGAGCAAUCCCUGAGUAAAGUGGCGCACGGGUGAGUAACACGUGACUAACCUACCCUGGAGUGGGGGAUAACUGAGGGAAACCUUAGCUAAUACCGCAUAAUACCUACGGGUCAAAGGAGCAAUUCGCUUCAGGAGGGGUCGCGGCCGAUUAGUUAGUUGGCGGGGUAAUGGCCCACCAAGACGAUGAUCGGUAU